CCUACGGGAGGCAGCAGUGGGGAAUAUUGGACAAUGGGGGGCAACCCUGAUCCAGCAAUGCCGCGUGAGUGAUGAAGGCCUUCGGGUUGUAAAGCUCUUUCACCCACGACGAUGAUGACGGUAGUGGGAGAAGAAGCCCCGGCUAACUUCGUGCCAGCAGCCGCGGUAAUACGAAGGGGGGCUAGCGUUGUUCGGAGUUACUGGGCGUAAAGGGCGCGUAGGCGGCCUGGUCAGUCUGGUGUGAAAGCCCGGGGCUCAACCCCGGAAUUGCGCUGGAGACGGCCAAGCUUGAGUGUGGGAGAGGAUGGUGGAAUUCCCAGUGUAGAGGUGAAAUUCGUAGAUAUUGGGAAGAACACCGGUGGCGAAGGCGGCCAUCUGGACCAUUACUGACGCUGAGGCGCGAAAGCGUGGGGAGCAAACAGGAUUAGAUACCCUGGUAGUCCACGCCGUAAACGAUGAGUGCUAGACGUCGGGGCCCUUAGGGCUUCGGUGUCGCAGCUAACGCAUUAAGCACUCCGCCUGGGGGAGUACGGGCCGCAAGGUUAAAACUCAAAGGAAUUGACGG
rnacentral:rRNA from 1 species